CUUAAGAACACAGUACAGAUUUGUUAGAAAUAGUAGUAUUUUCCCCACCCCAAACGCUACCUGUUCCUUCUUGCUUUGGACUGUCUGCACCUCCUGAAGAUUUUACAGCCAUGCUGGACUGCAGUGACUGUGUUCUAGACUCAAGAAUGAACAAUCCGUCAGAAACCAAUAAGUCAUCUAUGGAGAGUGGAGAUGCCAGCACAGCUGUAGCAAGAAGCAGAGAAGUGAUAAUUGCGGAGCUUUGAAGAUGGCGGCACUGAUGUAGUGCACACCUUUAACAAAGCACUAGAGAGGAAGAUGCAGACAGAACCCUGAUUUUGAGGCCAGCCAGAGCUGCAGAGAGAUCCUGUCUUUAAUUAAUUAAUUAAUGGGCUGAAUUGUGAUUAUACUUAUUUAAUAAAUGAAUGAGAAGGAAACUCAUCCUAUUGACAAGAUAAUUAAACAAACAGAAUUUUAAAA
rnacentral:lncRNA from 1 species